rnacentral:misc_RNA from 2 species
AGCAGCCGCGGUAAUUCCAGCUCCAAUAGCGUAUAUUAAAGUUGUUGCAGUUAAAAAGCUCGUAGUUGAAUUUCGGGAUCAAUAUGCUGGUCGUGCCAUUGGUACGUACUAGUAUUAUUGGUUUCUCCUUUCUGAUGAAUCAUGAUGUCAUUAAUUUGAUGUCAUGAGGAAUCAGGACUGUUACUUUGAAAAAAUUAGAGUGUUUAAAGCAGGCUCGCGCUUGAAUACAUUAGCAUGGAAUAAUGAAAUAGGACGUUUGAUCCUAUUUUGUUGGUUUCUAGGAUCGACGUAAUGAUUAAUAGGGAUAGUUGGGGGCAUUAGUAUUCAAUUGUCAGAGGUGAAAUUCUUGGAUUUAUUGAAGACUAACUACUGCGAAAGCAUUUGCCAAGGAUGUUUUCAUUAAUCAAGAACGAAAGUUAGGGGAUCGAAGACGAUCAGAUACCGUCGUAGUCUUAACCAUAAACUAUGCCGACUAGAGAUCGGAUGAUGUUAAUUUUUUAAUGACUCAUUCGGCGCCUUA